UACAGAGGGUGCGAGCGUUGUCCGGAAUCACUGGGCGUAAAGGGCGCGUAGGCGGCCUGAUAAGUAGGGGGUGAAAUCCUGUGGCUCAACUGCAGGGCUGCCUCCUAGACUGUCGGGCUUGAGCACGGUAGAGGCAGAUGGAAUUCCCGGUGUAGCGGUGGAAUGCGUAGAGAUCGGGAAGAACACCCGUGGCGAAAGCGGCUCUCUGGGACGGUACUGACGCUGAGACGCGAAAGCGUGGGGAGCAAACAGG
rnacentral:rRNA from 1 species